ensembl:lncRNA
AUGCUAGAAAUGAGACUAAAGCUAAAAUUUCCAGCCCUACACCCCCAUGUGGCCUCCAGAACUCUACAUUUAGUUGCCCAGAUAUCAGCACACAUGGCUGUGAUGGAGCCAGGAGGUGGCAAAGCCUAUGGGGUAUUCACCUACCUGCUGCAUGAAGGCAACAUGGAGGGACUGGGGUGGAUUAUCUGCAAAGAUGGCCAAAAUUCUCUCAUCCUUACAGGUAUAUACAAGGUAAGAACACCUUUGAGCAGUGGAAUGUGAUGAAAAUGCUGCCCAGCCAAUUCUAGACAGGGCCUUAAGAGGUCUAGAUGCUUCCACAUUUGCUUUCUUGGGAGCUCUCUGAUCAGAAGAGUCAAUCCUGGUGAGUUUAAUGUGAGCCUCAGAAUCCUACUCAACACAAAGUUCCAGAGAGAAGAGAUUAGCAAUGCCAAUACCUUAGAGAUGGUACUGGGUGUGGAAUCCGUCCUCCCUUGACUAGAGAACAGAAGUGGCAGUGUCUGCAUCUGGUAUUAGCAUUCUUUAUUUAGUUCAACAAAGUCACAUGGAGACAAUAUGUUACAUCCUGACUUUAAACAUUAGUUCAGAGAAGAAAAGAUGCUGAGAUCCCUUCCUCACUUAUCCAUGACUACAUAACAAACCACUACCAAACUUUGUGUCCUAACAACAAUGACUUAUUAUUUUGCACAGCCUUGUGGAUAAUGAGCUUAGGGUGCCGGUGGGGGAGACUGGUGGUUCUCACAUGAUAACUCCCUUGACCAGGUGAUCUCUAAGUUCCUUUCCAAUUUUAAUGUUUUCUGUUCUGAUUUAUCUUUUGGUAUUGUGCAGGUAUCAGGAGAAAAAAAAAUGCCACUGUCUCUCUUUAAUUCCUUUAUCAUUAGGUCAUACCCUUUCCCAACUCCCAAUCCAGUUUUCUUACGGCAAUACCUUGGUUUUUGCUUUGUGAAGAUGCCAGAGUCAGUCAAAACUAAGCUCACCGUCCUUGCUAAUAUUCUACCCCAGAGGAGAACUAAAGCUCAGCUAUUCACCCCUACAGAAAGCCUGAAUUUUGUAAAUGUUCUGCUUAGAAUGAGGAAGAAAGGUGAAGAAGGAGGAGGAUGAAGGGAGGAAUGAGAGAGAGGUAAAGCCAACGAGCAGAGCAGACCUACAUUUGCAGCAUCUCCAAGUUUCUGCAACAGCUUUAUGUUGUUGUUAUGUUUUGUUUUAAAAAAAGUAAAUACCAUUUUUUUCUUUACUGUUAUAUUCUUUUCAUAAGAGCUCAGCUAAAGACAGAUAAUGCUGGAGUCAGCUUUUUCUAAGAAUUAAUCUCUUCAAACUGGCCAUAGAGAUUUGGUAGAAGUCAUGGGUUUUAAUUGAAUUUCUCCUAACGGUCUCCAAGGGAUGGAACAUGACUGAUACAGGCUGACUUUCCCUCUCCCCUUGGUGAAGCUGUAUUGCCUCCCACAGAACAGACCGUUCUUUAUGUUCUAACCGGGCUUUUCAUAACUCCACUGGAGAGCUGUGCAAACCCUAGACUUGGCAAAGGCUUUUUUGUUUUCUGAAGCCAGACCAAUUCUGGACUCAGUUCCUGCUUUCUAGGAAGAAAUAGCACAUGCAUCCAGCCUCUUCCCUGAUGAAAAAAUACCUCACUCCUUUUUAGACAACUUCUCGUAUUGAUAAUUUUAUAGAAAUACACUGUAUGAGUGAA